GUGCUCGCUUUGGCAGCACACAUACUAAAAUUGAAACGAUACAGAGAAGAUUAGCAUGGCCCUUGCACAAGGAUGACACACAAAUUCGUGAAGCGAUCCAUAUUUUA
rnacentral:snRNA from 1 species